GAUGAACGCUGGCGGCGCGCCUAACACAUGCAAGUCGAACGAUUAAAGCACCUUCGGGUGUGUAUAAAGUGGCGAACGGCUGAGUAACACGUGGGCAACCUGCCCCUUUCAUUGGGAUAGCCACGGGAAACCGUGGAUAAUACCGAAUACUUCGAGACUUCCGCAUGGAAGACUCGAGAAAGCUCCGGCGGAGAGGGAUGGGCCCGCGGGCUGUUAGCUUGUUGGUGGGGUAACGGCCUACCAAGGCAAUGAUGGGUAGCUGGGUUGAGAGACCGACCAGCCAGAUUGGGACUGAGACACGGCGCAGACUCCUACGGGAGGCAGCAGUGGGGAAUCUUGCACAAUGGGCGAAAGCCUGAUGCAGCGACGCCGCGUGCGGGAUGAAGGCCUUCGGGUUGUAAACCGCUUUCAGCAGGGACGAGGCGAAAGUGACGGUACCUGCAGAAGAAGCCCCGGCUAACUACGUG
rnacentral:rRNA from 1 species